rnacentral:misc_RNA from 1 species
GAUGAAGAACGUAGCGAAAUGCGAUAAGUAAUGUGAAUUGCAGAAUUCAGUGAAUCAUCGAAUCUUUGAACGCACAUUGCGCCCCCUGGUAUUCCGGGGGGCAUGCCUGUCCGAGCGUCAUUACAACCCUCAAGCUCAGCUUGGUGUUGGGCCCCGCCGCCCCGGCGGGCCCUAAAGUCAGUGGCGGUGCCGUCCGGCUCCGACCGUAGUAAUUCUUCUCGCUCUGGAGGUCCGGUCGUGUGCUCGCCAGCAACCCCCAAUUUUUUUCAGGUUGACCUCGGAUCAGGUAGGGAUACCCGCUGAACUUAAGCAUAUCAAUAAGCGGAGGA